UUUUUUUAAGGUCCUCAUACUUAUUAUACUUUGUUCCAUUUCCUGUUUUGCUAUUUUGACAGGGUAAAUCUACUAAUGGAGAUUCCGAAGCAAAUGCAUCUUGAUCCUUAGCUGCUAGCCACUAGUUACAAGGACGAGACAUUGAGGAAUGCAGUUGCAAAGUUUAAGGGGAAGAAAUGAAGACAAUAGGUUUGUCUUUGUUUAUUCAAUCAUGCUUAAGUGGAGAUUGUAGUUACUAACUUCAGUACGUAUUGGGCUUUUAGGUGGCAAUUAGUUUGCUUAGACAUGUUUGACAAAUGUAAUCUUUUAUUAUUUGUUUUAAGGUUAGUAUUUUCUCUCGUCCUAUUCUAAUGUCAUGGAUGAUGUUAUUUUAUCUAUGUAUUAAGACUAUGUAGUUUGCAUUCAAUCAA